rnacentral:tRNA from 1 species
GGCUUCGUAGCUCAGCUGGUACAGCGCUUGCCACCUUUGGUUAUGCUGUGUCUCAUGCUGGUUCGAAUCCAGUCGAAGCCC